CUGGUUCGAACCAUGAGCUGUUGGCUACGGUAAACGUACUCAUACUUGCUUGUUCGCUGCUUCUGCACCGUCGCCGUGCACGGAAUGCACGGAAGCGCCGAUUUUGCGUGCGACCCAUGUUUCGCCGUCGAGAGCAAGAAGGGCAGGCGCGCCUAUUGCUGCCACGGCUGCGGGCGGAAGACGAGGCCUACUUCCGCGAAUUCACAUAUGUUGAUCUUUGCCACUAUGGUGCUGAAGGGGAUUCUGGUAUAUUUUUGCGGUCAGAUUUGCUCAAAGCCCUCAGCGAAGACUUUUGUGGUGUUCCAUCCCCCACCACUCUCGGGUCGGCAGGUGUCAUUCCCUAUGUGAUAGUAGGGGAUGAAGCCUUCCCUUUGAAAACAUUCCUCAUGCGUCCCUAUGCCCGUCGUGAACUGCAGAAGCACAGGUUAAGCCCAUCUGGACCUGAGGACUACCAGCAGAGAGCAACUUUCAACAACCGUUUAAGCCGGGCUCGCCGGGUCAUUGAAAAUUUGUUUCGCAUAAUGGCUGCAAGAUGGCGAAUAUUAAGGAGGCCCUUUAGGGCAUCAGAGGAAACAACAGAAAAUAUUUGCAAGGCAUGUGUUGUGCUACAUAACUUCAUGAUGUCGGAGAGCGCAUUAGCACGAUCUGCCUACAGCCCACCUGGCUAUGCCGACAGUGAGGACUGGCAAGAAAACGAAACUCCAGGCUUAUGGAGGACAGACGGCAAUGACCUUCCAGCAAUGAGAGGGAUAAGUAGACAAGGUUCUGCUAGGUAAAUAUGGAAAGCCUGCGUCAACCAACAUUUUUAUGCAGUGUAUGUUGAGCUGCUACGAUGUUGUUUGCAGGUCUGCUAUGGAUGUGCGCGACAGACUGGCACAAUAUUUUGUCACGGAAGGCAAAGUUCCAUGGCAAGGUAGGAUUGUCAACCGUGCAGGACGGAAGGUAAAACAAGCAGGAUAAUGCUGCAUCGGCUCUAAAAUAUGUUCUUUAAAAUGAAU